rnacentral:rRNA from 1 species
AUUGAACGCUGGCGGCAAGCCUAACACAUGCAAGUCGAACGAGUGGCGGACGGGUGAGUAAUGUCUGGGAAACUGCCUGAUGGAGGGGGAUAACUACUGGAAACGGUAGCUAAUACCGCAUACCAUCGGAUGUGCCCAUAUGGGAUUAGCUAGUAGGUGGGGUAAAGGCCAACCUAGGCGACUAUCCCUCGCUGGGCUGAGAGUAUGACCAGCCACACUGGAACUGAGACACGGUCCAGACUCCUACGGGAGGCAGCAGUGGGGAAUAGUGCACAAGGGGCGCAAGCCUGAUGCAGCCAUGCCGCGUGUAUGAAGAAGGCCGUCGGGUUGUAAAGUACUUGCAGCUGGGAGGCGUUACCCGAAGAAGAAGCACCGGCUAACUCCGUGCCAGCAGCCGCGGUAAUAC